CGGGCAGCGACGGCAUCCCAUCCGCGCCUCUUCAGUGAUUGGCUCAGCGCUAAUGUGCGGUGCCGAAGUCGGUUCUCCUGUGUUGUAUUCCAAUUAAGAUGGCAUUCCGUCGGCUAAGUUGUCCCUUUUCCGCCCUGCGCUGCUGCUCCGUAUGGAAAUGCGGUGCGAGGGUGGACCUCAAAGCAUCCGUCGUGUCUCGCAAUGGACGCACUCCUUCCUGUAAGAGGUGCUUGUGUUGACGACCCACGGCGGCGUGCUCGAUCUCUCGGAUGCGGAACAUUGAGUGGGUAGGGGGCCUCGGCGCCCCUCCACACCCCCAAAAAAGCGUUCUACGCUUCGUGCGAACGACUGCCGUCCCGGUCUUGUUCUGGAGCCCCUGCGGCUCAAGUUUAUGCUGGGGCGGCGUCGGUGAGGAAUGCUACCUGGUUGAUCCUGCCAGUA
rnacentral:misc_RNA from 1 species